rnacentral:rRNA from 1 species
UACGUAGGUCCCGAGCGUUGUCCGGAUUUAUUGGGCGUAAAGCGAGCGCAGGUGGUUUAAUAAGUCUGAUGUAAAAGGCAGUGGCUCAACCAUUGUGUGCAUUGGAAACUGUUAGACUUGAGUGCAGUAGAGGAGAGUGGAAUUCCAUGUGUAGCGGUGAAAUGCGUAGAUAUAUGGAGGAACACCGGUGGCGAAAGCGGCUCUCUGGACUGUAACUGACACUGAGGUGCGAGAGCGUGGGGAGCAAACAGG